rnacentral:rRNA from 1 species
UACGUAGGGUGCAAGCGUUAAUCGGAAUUACUGGGCGUAAAGCGUGCGCAGGCGGCAGUUUAAGUCAGAUGUGAAAUCCCUGGGCUUAACCUAGGAAUGGCAUUUGAGACUAGACAGCUAGAGUGUAUCAGAGGGGGGUAGAACUCCACGUGUAGCAGUGAAAUGCGUAGAGAUGUGGAAGAACACCGAUGGCGAAGGCAGCCCCCUGGGAAGACACUGACGCUCAGGCACGAAAGCGUGGGGAGCAAACAAG